rnacentral:rRNA from 1 species
ACACUCCUGCGGGAGGCAGCAGUGGGGAAUUUUGGACAAUGGGCGAAAGCCUGAUCCAGCAAUGCCGCGUGAGUGAAGAAGGCCUUCGGGUUGUAAAGCUCUUUUGUCAGGGAAGAAACGGUGAAAGCUAAUAUCUUUUGCUAAUGACGGUACCUGAAGAAUAAGCACCGGCUAACUACGUGCCAGCAGCCGCGGUAAUACGUAGGGUGCAAGCGUUAAUCGGAAUUACUGGGCGUAAAGCGUGCGCAGGCGGUUUUGUAAGUCUGAUGUGAAAUCCCCGGGCUCAACCUGGGAAUUGCAUUGGAGACUGCAAGGCUAGAAUCUGGCAGAGGGGGGUAGAAGUCCACGUGUAGCAGUGAAAUGCGUAGAUAUGUGGAGGAACACCGAUGGCGAAGGCAGCCCCCUGGGUCAAGAUUGACGCUCAUGCACGAAAGCGUGGGGAGCAAACAGGAUUAGAUACCCUAGUAGUCC